UCUUGGGUUGAGUUUCUUUACUCUUCUCUUGAGUUUCCUCACGGUUUUGUGCAAUGUUGGGUCACCUUGGUUGACUCUGCCCUAAGUUAUUGGGCUGGCCUUUGGGGCCCCUAGUAUGAUUUAUCAUACUAACCCCAGAGGUUAAUUUCUACUAUGUCUAUGAAUUGAUGUAUGAAAAAAGUUAUUUGUUAACUUGAAGGCUUUUGCUGUAAAAAGUGAGUCUUUAAAAACAACUCUUGGCAAUGGAUCUCUUGGUUCUCGCAUCGAUGAAGAGCGUAGCAAAGUGCGAUAAUUAUUGCGACUUGCAUUCAUAGUGAAUCAUCGAGUUCUUGAACGCAUCUUGCGCCUAGUAGUCAAUCUACUAGGCACAGUUGUUUCAGUAUCUGCAUCCACCAAUCAACACGACUUGCUUGUGUUGGAACUGGGCUUACUUUUGAUGGCAUUUAGUUGCUGUCAUGGCCUUAAAUGUAUUUAGUCCUAGGUGUUAACUUGUUAAUGCCGGAUGGAGACUCUAGAGUGCCUUAGAAGCAGCUUGGUUAGUGAGUUCAUAAUUCCAAGUGUUAGUCUUUUAUUGAACUGGGUUUCUAGUCUAUGGGACAUGGAGUCGUAAGACUCUUAAACAACAAACUCACAUUUAGAUCUGAAAUCAACUGAGACCACCCGCUGAACUUAAGCAU
rnacentral:rRNA from 1 species